ACGCGAGGAACCUUACCUGGGCGUUGAAAGUUAGUGACAUUCUGCGAAAGCAGAACUUCCGCAAGGACACGAAACUAGGUGCUGCAUGGCUGUCGUCAGCUCGUGCCGUGAGGUGUUGGGUUAAGUCCCGUAACGAGCGCAACCCCUAUCAUUAGUUGCCAUCAGGUCAUGCUGGGGACUCUAAUGAGACUGCCCGCGCAAGCGGUGAGGAAGGUGGGGACGACGUCAAGUCAUCACGGCCCUUACGUCCAGGGCUACACACGUGCUACAAUGGUAGAUACAGCAGGUUGCCACAUGGUAACAUGGAGCUAAUCCCAAAAGUCUAUCUCAGUUCGGAUUGAGGUCUGCAACUCGACCUCAUGAAGCUGGAUUCGCUAGUAAUCGAAAAUCAGCAAUGUUUCGGUGAAUACGUUCCCGGGCCUU
rnacentral:rRNA from 1 species